rnacentral:rRNA from 1 species
UCGGGAAUUUUGGGCAAUGGGCGAAAGCCUGACCCAGCAACGCCGCGUGAGGGAUGAAGUAUUUCGGUAUGUAAACCUCGAAAGAAUGGGAAGAAUAAAUGACGGUACCAUUUAUAAGCUCCGGCUAACUACGUGCCAGCAGCCGCGGUAAUACGUAGGGAGCAAGCGUUGUUCGGAUUUACUGGGCGUAAAGGGCGCGUAGGCGGCGCGGUAAGUCACUUGUGAAAUCUCUGAGCUUAACUCAGAACGGCCAAGUGAUACUGCUGUGCUAGAGUGCGGAAGAGGCAACCGGAAUUCUUGGUGUAGCGGUGAAAUGCGUAGAUAUCAAGAGGAACACCAGAGGCGAAGGCGGGUUGCUGGGCCGACACUGACGCUGAUGAGAGAAAGCCUGGGGAGCAAACG